rnacentral:rRNA from 1 species
UACAGAGGUCCCAAGCGUUGUUCGGAUUCAUUGGGCGUAAAGGGUGCGUAGGCGGCGCGGUAAGUCGGGUGUGAAAUCUCGGGGCUUAACUCCGAAACUGCAUUCGAUACUGCCGUGCUGGAGUGUGGGAGAGGUGCGUGGAAUUCCCGGUGUAGCGGUGAAAUGCGCAGAUAUCGGGAGGAACACCGGUGGCGAAGGCGGCUACCUGGACAGAAACUGGACGCUGAGGCACGAAAGCUAGGGGAGCAAACAGG